GACGAACGCUGGCGGCGUGCUUAACACAUGCAAGUCGAACGGAAAGGCCCUGCCUUUGUGGGGUGCUCGAGUGGCGAACGGGUGAGUAACACGUGAGUAACCUGCCCUUGACUUUGGGAUAACUUCAGGAAACUGGGGCUAAUACCGGAUAGGAGCUCCUGCUGCAUGGUGGGGGUUGGAAAGUUUCGGCGGUUGGGGAUGGACUCGCGGUUUAUCAGCUUGUUGGUGGGGUUGUGGCUUACCAAGGCUUUGACGGGUAGCCGGCCUGAGAGGGUGACCGGCCACAUUGGGACUGAGGUACGGGCCAGACUCCUACGGGAGGAAGCAGUGGGGAAUAUUGCACAAUGGGCGGAAGCCUGAUGCAGCAACGCCGCGUGCGGGAUGACGGCCUUCGGGUUGUAAACCGCUUUCGCCUGUGACGAAGCGUGAGUGACGGUAAUGGGUAAAGAAGCACCGGCUAACUACGUG
rnacentral:rRNA from 1 species